AGUGUUGACACCAUUAUUGUAACAUCUGUGAAGGGAAAAAUAUGAGCCGAUUUCUAAGUGCACAAAUGGUCCCGGAGUUAUAAAGAUUCUUUUAUGCUUAAUUGUAUUCAUUAUCAGCAGUAAUUAUUUCUAACAUGAGCAGUUUCUUCCAAUUUAAUGUCAACCUAAAAGGUUAAGACCUUACAAUAGAGGCAUUUCUACCUCAUGAUUUGUUGGGUCUGCAAAGUUACGCUAAUUGGUAAAACAAGAAUUGCUUCUGGGGGCUGGCCUGCCUCGAUUUCGUCUUGUCUGGGUAAAGCAGAUCUCUCUGACUAUUAACUUCGCAAAGGAGUACUACUGGGCAGAGUGGAAAAGGAUUUCCAGGCUUACACUAGGAGCCAUAUUUAUGUCAUCAGUGGAGGGACUGCUGAAGGUUCUGUCCCACCAUCUCUAUCCCAGCAUCCUUGGAAGCAAGCUUUUGUAAUUGCAGAUGCUUGAUGUUGAGUGAUGCAUGGAGGGAGAAGGCCCCAGAAUGCUCCAGUAGUCAUUUAUGGAUGAGAAGCUGGUCUUGCUAACUAAGGCAAUGUGAGCAUGUCCUCCCAUGCCAACAGAUAAAAGCCCCAGUGACCCAAGCUCUUCUGUUCACAAUGGGCCAAGGGGACCCCAGAAUGCCAGACUUCAUCUAAUAGGCAAUCUCUUUUACCUGGUGGUUCUGUCUCCAAAGGACUGCUGCCAUGGAGAGAACUAGUGGUGUAAGGGGCUGUCGGGACCACAAUAAUGCUGGAUAAGUACCUGACAGCCCCACCGACAUCUCAGCUAUAGAGACAUCGAAUCAACGAGAUCAUCAUUUCUGCCAACUUGACGAGAAAACAACGCUGCACCUUCAAAGGCAUGAGGCCGAGCCUUUCACGGUGCAAGACAAAUGACCCUCAGUGUGAUCCCUGGUGCCACCUCUAACAGGAAAUUAUAAUAAUAUGACAAUGAUUCACUUCCAGAAAGUCAUUUGGAUAUGUGCCGAUGAGGAAUGUCUGCCAGGCUGCAUUGCACUUGUCUUUCUUCUGCCCACCACAGCAAAUUCAGGAGCAGGCGGUGGUGGGUGCAGCAGCUGCAGAGUCCGACGCAGGGGCAGCGCUUGGAGCUUCAGAAGGAAGGUUGCUAAUAAACCUUCGCAGCAGGAAGGUGGCCAUGUCUGGAACCUGGAAACGUGUUUGCAAGAAACUCUCAUAGAGUCAUCAAGGUCAAAGUUGAUCUUCCUGUUAUUAAACUUGGAUGAGAAUGUUCCUGUGGACUUUGGCAGCAAGUCCAUAUUCUUUAUUUAAAUGGAAUAGUAGGAAGAAAAG
rnacentral:lncRNA from 1 species